UGGAGUUUCAUAAGUGAGCCCAGGAUAUGGCUAAGUGUCCAAUCUAUUCUCUUUGUGUUAUUAUAACCUGUUUUGCUUAACUCUCUUGUUUAUUUCAUAAUUAUAACGUCUUAGUAUUCAUUGAUCAUACAGACAACAAAGCAAACUGUGCAUAGUUUGGGUUUGCAUAGUCAGGUGCAUUCCACAGGCCAACAACUGAAGUCAUGGUAUUGGGCCAGACUGUAACUGGGGAAGUCUGCAAUCCAAGGAGAGAGAACUAAAAGCUACAAAUUCAGUGCCCUCUCUGCCCUUGAGGGUAAUCUCCUCUUUCUUCAUGGGAGUAGCUGACUGCAGAUGUUGCCAAGCACUUGCUCUGUGCAGUAGAAGAUGGCAUUUCUCAUGCCCUGACUGGCUUCCCCAUUCCAUCCUGCCUGAACAAACCACACCAGAUUUCCUUUGCCUCAUCGUGUUCCACAGAAAGCAGAAAGCCAUUUGGUUUAGUGAACCUGGUUGCAAAAUCCACAGAUGGGUCUUCAUCAACAGCUAAACAUCAUUGCAGAACCAUGAAGAAAAUCUGUUCCUGUCGAAGCACUCACCCUUCCCUGCCAGCCUGUUUCUGAUGGGAUAACAGGACACAGCUGCUCAGGAUCCAGCCUUCCAGGUGGUAACGGAAGGGUUAAACUGGGCCCCAAGCACUUGUUCUUCCAGUGCACCCUGCACUCCUCACCCUCCGGGAUUUAUGGUCAUCUCGUCGCAUGUUAAAAAGAUUAUAGGGAAAAUAUGUAAAUGAAAAGUUACUAAGUGGAGCAGAGUGGUGUAAAAGCAGACCUAUUAGCAACAGGAUCCAAGGCUCCGCAUAUGCUACGUUUCUGUUGCUGGAAUUAUCAUCAAAGAGCUUUCCAAGGCUUCCUGGCCCAGAUGGAUUUUACAUCCUUAUGCACUAGCCCUGAGCCAAAGCCAAAUUUGCAGGUGAAGCCGAUGCUGCAGCUCAUGUGGAGGUGCCUGGCUAUGUGCGUCUGUCCCUCACCCAGCUGGGGGUCUGGCUCCCACAAGUGGAGGUUUCCUCAGAAAGGUGACUGUGGGGAGAACUUUGCUUCAGACUUCCACUACUGAUUUAGAAAAAAAAAAAAAAAAA